ACAUACACACACAAGUGAUAAACAAAUCUAGUGGCCUACCUGUUUUCACAACGAUUGCGCGCUGGCUGAUAGUGUGGCUUUUCCGAGCUUGAAUAUUUUCGGUUACAAAGUUUUAUCUCGCGAUCAGAUCUACCCGUAUGCGCGUGUGUUGCUCCAUGGAUACUCUGAACAUCCGCAUAUGAACAAUAAUCUUGAAAAAUGCUCAAUGGUCAUUACUCAAAAGACUGAUUUAUCG
rnacentral:lncRNA from 1 species